rnacentral:rRNA from 1 species
UACGUAGGGUGCAAGCGUUAAUCGGAAUUACUGGGCGUAAAGCGUGCGCAGGCGGUUAUGUAAGACAGAUGUGAAAUGCCCGGGCUUAACCUGGGAACUGCAUUUGUGACUGCAUGGCUAGAGUUUGGCAGAGGGGGGUAGAAUUCCACGUGUAGCAGUGAAAUGCGUAGAUAUCGGGAGGAACACCGGUGGCGAAGGCGGCGAUCUGGGUAGAUACUGACGCUGAGGUGCGAAAGCGUGGGGAGCAAACAGG